UGAGUCCGAAGAAAGAGGCAGGAGCUCAAGAGGGCACAACUCUUGGAAGUGGGCGGGGCCUCAGCUUAAGGAGUAGAAGGUGUUCCUAGAAAAAGAUCGCGCACGCGCCAGCUGGGGUGACUGGGCGUGGGCGCUGGCCGGGAAUUACCCUGGAGAGCGCGGGACGGCGGCGGUGGAAGGGUUUGGGGCUGUCCGCGCGCGAAGCCGGCCUGGGCCGGGAGCGAGGGGCCCCGCGAGCUUCGCCGAUGUGGCCGUGUACCUCUCUCCGGAGGAGCGGGGAUGGCUGCACCCCGCGCAGAGGGCCCUGUGCGGGGACGUCAUGCGGGAGACCUACGGCCACCUGGACGCGCUAGAACAAAUAGUCAUUGUAGAAUGGAAUGUUUGAGUUCUGGAUUCCUUGUUUCUCAGCAGAAGCCAGAAGGAAGAACGAGAAGCACAAAGAGGUGGAAUUUGAGGGAACCCCUCUGAAAAUUUAGCUGUUACAUCAAGGACAUUGAUGAGACAUCCAGUGGGGUCCUGCAUUUGCUGAAGCCUUCUCCAAGGCCAGUUAUGGCAAGUCUAAGCACCAGCAGGCUCACAGGAGCAAAAGCAACUUCCCUAGCGCCUUCAACCACUGUUUCAGCAGCUUUUUUAAACUGUUCCACCGCCACCCCAUCUGUUCUGGAGAACACCCAUAUACCUGCGUGUGGUUUGGAUGACAUUUCUAUUACAACCAGCAAUGUUGCUUGCCACCUCUUCAACCACAACAGUAAGCAGCCCCUACCCCAGUUAGAGAAGCUCUUCACCCAGAAGUCAGCUGUGGAAGCAAACCUAUGGAUCCAUUGUCCUGGUGUUGGGAGGCAAAAGGACUGGUCACCUAGGCAGGACUGUGCCAUCUGCUUCUGUCCAAGGUUAUUUAGAUUUCUUUCUUGGCUUCCAGCACUACCAGAGAUCUUCCAGGAGGAGGGGUGACCUACUUGGUCAUGAGCACCGAGGAAGGACUGAAGAAGCCCAUAGCCAGGCAAAUACUCAAGAGGAUUUGAAGACAGAAAACCCUUGUCUCUUGGUAUCCUAAGAGACCAAGAGGGAGCUGGACAAUCAGUGGAUUUCUGUGCCAGCUCCAAAAUGCCAGAUGGGUGAGAACAACUGCAUCCCUAUUCUGUUCCUCUGUCUGCCUGCCAUCAAACUCAGUAUUUCCAGGCCCUAAACCUGCCCUUAUCUCCUGGAUGGGACGUGAAACAGAGGUGUGGGGCCUAGAAGCCCAGGAUUCUGAGGAGAAAAGGAAUUGUCCAAAAACCUGUGGAGGAGCCAGAAAUGAGGAAAAGAAUAGAAAGAGAGAAGGAUCUGGGGCUCCUCUGAGGAAGCCAUCUCCAAAUCUUCAAACCGAGCAGAAGGAAGGACCUGACAGGCCCUUAGAGUUGCCAGAUCUGCUGUCCAAGGUCCCCUGGCCAUGCCUCAAGAAGGAGACUGGGGCAUGGCCACCUGCUCAGACUGUGGCAGGACAUUCUGAAAACCCUCAAUCAUGGCACUCCACCAGUGUACUCACAAUCAUAAACAUCCCUACUCUUGUCCUGUCUGUGGGUGCUGCCUCAUCAAUUCUGCCCAAUUGAUCAGCCACUGGUGAGGGCACUCUGGAGUGCAUUGUUAUGCCUUUGUUGACUAUGGACACACUUAGAGUCCAGGAAACCUGUUCACUGCUGGCAUGUUCACCCUGGGAAUCACCCGUUUGCUUGUGCGCACUGUGGGGUUCCAAGAGAACCUUGUUGGACACCAGCUCCUCCACACUGGGGAAAAACCCUACCAUUGCCCUGACUGUGGGCACCACUUUUGGCAGAGUGGAUUCUUGGUUUAUCCACUGGCACACCCACACCAGAAACAACCAUAUCCCUGCCCUGAAUGUGAAAAGCGCUUUUUGGACAGUUCAUCCUUAGCCAAACACCAGCAGAUCUAUCGGACUGCUCAAAACAAUCCCAUUGGUCCUCUGUCAGCAGGAUUGGGGCCAAGGUUUUUUGACCCAGAUCCCCCUAUAGGCUUUUAAAUGCUACCCAGAUAUCCAAGAAUGUGGAUGACCUUGAUUGAAAAGACAGAAGGAAAACUAUCAAGGGAGGUGCAGAGCCAGACUCUGAAGGGAAGGCACUGAGACUUUGAAACCUAUCGUGUCUCUGACUAUAUGUGUAUGCACGUAUAAAAAUUCAACUUGCUUAAACCUAUGAAGAAUUAAGUAAAAAGAAAAAAUGACCUGGCUUCAGCCAAGCAGCCUUUCAUUUGGGAGCUUAACUUAGUGACUACUAUAUUGAGAUGCAUUACUCAGUAAUGCAUCAGUCUGAAAUUUAAAUCAGAAUUAACAAACGUUGAUAAAGAAUCUACUAAAUGCUUUAAACAUAAAGCACUAUAUAAAUGUAAAUUAUUGUUAGAAAUGAGUAAGAAUGAACAGAUAGAAAGAAGUAAAAGAUGUGAUCAUUGAUCAUAUGAUCCAUUCAUGGAUCUUAUAACCUAGUGAAGAGGAAAGGCACAAAUAUGUGGAAGGUUAAAAACCAAUGCAACAACUAAAUUAUGCAUUUCAGAAAGCAGUUCCAUGAUUAGUUGCCUAUGGGAAAGUAAGCCUUUAGUUCAGAAGGAAUAAUUACCAUGGGUUUGAGUGUGAUGGGAAGGCAUCAUCUAACUGGGAUGAACUGCACCUGGAAGAAUGGGAAAGACCCAAAUAAGUAAAAAGACAAAAAGUGAAGAAAACAGCUGAACAGAUAAAAGGAAGUGCAUGUUGCUUAGGAGAACUUGACUACAGGAAUCAGAGGACUUGGUUCAAAUCCUGCCUCUAGUACUACCUGUGUGACUUGUCCUCGGUCUCCUCAUGUGAUAAUGAGAGGGGUGGGCCAAAUGGCCUCUGAGAUCCCUUCUAGCUCUACAGCUAUUUGCUGUGAAUUGAGACUAGGUUGGCUGGGGAUGAAUGGAAAGAUAGGGGCUGAAGGACCUUGAAUGCCAGGCUAAGGCUUUUAGAUUUCCUUCCAUAGACAAUGGGAAGCCUUUAAGGUUUUCAAGCAGGGUAAUAUAAGGGGAUGGAAAAGAGAUUGCCGAGUAAGUAUCAAAAAGGUAUUGAUUGGGAGUGAUACUGUCUUGCUGCUCCCCUAGUAUCAAAACCUCCAGCAUCCUAAUCUAGAUCACUUCUACCAUAUAUGUAGUAUCUGGGUUUUGGUUAACAAUGAGUUCACUUUUCAACUUGUUUACUUAACCUUUCCGUCUCAAUUUUCUCAUCUAUAAAGGGAAGGGAAUAAACAUUUAUAUAGCACCUACAGCAUA